UUCCAAUCAACAUUCUUCUUAUAUGUGAAGUCAUCACUUCCCAUAAGGUCAUUACAUGAUCUUUCAUGCUAUUGUUCUUUUAUUAUUCUUUUGUUUAGAUCAUGCCAUGAGGCAAGGCCCUUAACGAAAGCACUCUUUAUUAUAUGACUAACGAGCUCGAUUACAUCGGGGGUGACACAAAGCAAAACUCAAGCCUAGAACAUACUAAGAGCUUUAAUCUACUAGAAAAAGAUAAAAC
rnacentral:lncRNA from 1 species